UACGUAGGGUGCGAGCGUUAAUCGGAAUUACUGGGCGUAAAGUGUGCGCAGGCGGCCGCGCAAGUCGAGUGUGAAAUCCCCGAGCUUAACUUGGGAAUUGCGCUCGAAACUACGUGGCUGGAGUGUGGCAGAGGAAGGUGGAAUUCCACGUGUAGCGGUGAAAUGCGUAGAUAUGUGGAGGAACACCGAUGGCGAAGGCAGCCUUCUGGGCCAACACUGACGCUCAUGCACGAAAGCAUGGGGAGCAAAAGGG
rnacentral:rRNA from 1 species